AGCCUUCGACGGCGUCUCUUCGGUUGUUUCCGAUUCCGAGAUUCCUUCGCCUAUUGGAAGCCCCGCUCCAUUGUUGGCCCUGGUGAUAAUCCACAGACGGUGAAGACAAGGUUGCGGCAAUGGGCGCAGGUGUUGCUUGUUCGGUGCGGCAAAGCUCAUGACGACGGCGAUGGAUGGAUGUGUUCCAUAACAUGAUAUGGCCAUCAAGGUUUUGAAGAUCAAAUUCUAAGGAAUAAAAACCGAUGAAAGCAGCUUGUAUAUCAAUGUAAAAAAAAAAUGAACUGUCUUUUUGUUUAGCAAAUUUGGUUAGAAAUUUCGGAAAAGGAAAAGAUAAAGAUCCAGACCAGACAUUAAAUGAACUAGAUGACUUUUAUUGCUUGUAAUAGGAAUUUUGCACUGCUGUCCACAGCUGAUUUAUCUUUUAUUUUUUUCCAAUUUGCUCAAGGUUUCGUAGUUUGUCUGAACCAUGCCCUGUAAAAACAUGUUUGCGGCUUUUUUUUGUAUA